rfam:Nematocida sp. 1 ERTm2 unplaced genomic scaffold supercont1.6, whole genome shotgun sequence.
CUCCUGAUAGCUCAGUGGUAGAGCAUGCGACUGUAGAAAUGGUUUCCCAUUGGGGUUAUCGCGAGGUCGGUGGUUCGACUCCAUCUCAGGAGA